CAGUCGCCACGGUAAUACGUAGGGUCCGAGCGUUGUCCGGAAUUAUUGGGCGUAAAGAGCUCGUAGGCGGUCUGUCGCGUCUGCCGUGAAAUCCUCAGGCUCAACCUGAGGCGUGCGGUGGGUACGGGCAGGCUAGAGUGCGGUAGGGGAGAAUGGAACUCCUGGUGUAGCGGUGGAAUGCGCAGAUAUCAGGAAGAACACCGAUGGCGAAGGCAGUUCUCUGGGCCGUAACUGACGCUGAGGAGCGAAAGCGUGGGGAGCGAACAGGAUUAGAUACCCCGGUAGUCCCUGUCUCUUAUAA
rnacentral:rRNA from 1 species